AGUGAACGCUGGCGGUAGGCCUAACACAUGCAAGUCGAACGGCAGCACAAGAGAGCUUGCUCUCUGGGUGGCGAGUGGCGGACGGGGGUGGAAUGCACCGGAAUCUGCACAUUUGUGGGGGAUAACCUCGGGAAACCGGGACUCAUACCGCAUACGACCUACGGGGGAAAGAAGAGGAUCUCCGGACAUUGCGCAGGUGGAUGAGACGAUGCCGGAUUAGCUAGUUGGAGGGGUAAAGGCCCACCAAGGCGACGAUCCGUAGCUGGUCUGAGAGGAUGAUCAGCCACACUGGGACUGAGACACGGCCCAGACUCCUACGGGAGGCAGCAGUGGGGAAUAUUGGACAAUGGGCGCAAGCCUGAUCCAGCCAUGCCGCGUGGGUGAAGAAGGCCUUCGGGUUGUAAAGCACUUUUGUUGGGAAAGAAAAGCAGCCGGUUAAUACCCGGUUGUCAUGACGGUACCCAAAGAAUAAGCACCGGCUAACUUCGUG
rnacentral:rRNA from 1 species